GUUUCACAACAUUACACAAAGUUCAGAUAGAAAUGCACUGUCUAGAUCAGACAUACUUCUCUGUCUGGUAGAAGAAUAGGGAAUUAAGUCACUUCUAUUUGUUGCGUUUCUGUCGCUGCCAAAGUUCUGAACACUUCACCUCACUGAAUACAGCAGACCUCUGAUCUAUGGAACAUGGAACAGUGAGCCCGUCUGGAUGGAAUGCCUACCUUCUUCCUGUCCACUCUGUUAUCCUAGCAACAGCAGUCUGUGCCUUGUCCCCCUCCCCACACCCACCAUGACAUGUGUUUCUGUCACGUCAGAUGAAGGCUGCUCUGAAAGUUUCUCGCCACUCAGCAGGUGGAUCCAUUCUGCUCUUCAGUAUGUUGUUAUUUACCACCUGUCUUGUUGUCAUGGUAGAUAUGGAAGGGCUGUAGUGAUGGUGUGAUGGGCUCAUGAGUCAUAGUGUUGUCUCUGAUUGGCCGGAUAGAAAGGUCCUUUGACACACAGUCUCUGACUCGGCAGCUUCACACUUGUAGGGAUUCAUUGGCCAGCUGUUGCAAUUCCUGGACACACAGCAGGUUGAGAGACACACACAGCAGGUUGAGCUGUGUUGAGACACACACAGCAGGUUGAGAGACACACACAGCAGGUUGAGAGACACACACAGCAGGUUGAGAGACACACACACACACACACACAGCAGGUUGAGAGACACACACAGCAGGUUGAGAGACACACACACACACAGCAGGUUGAGAGACACACAGCAGGUUGAGAGACACACACAGCAGGUUGAGAGACACACACAGCAGGUUGAGAGACACACACAGCAGGUUGAGAGACACACACAGCAGGUUGAGAGACACACAGCAGGUUGAGAGACACACACACACACACACACACAGCAGUUUGAGAGACACACACACACACACACACAGCAGUUUGAGAGACACACACACACACAGCAGUUUGAGAGAC
rnacentral:lncRNA from 1 species